GUGCUUGCUUCAACAUCACACAUACAAGAAAUGGAAUGAUACAGAGAUUAGCAUGGGCCCUGCACAAGGGUGACACACAAAUUCGUGAAGUGUUUUGUGCUUUU
ensembl:snRNA U6 U6 spliceosomal RNA